rnacentral:rRNA from 1 species
UACGGGGGGGGCAAGCGUUGUUCGGAAUUACUGGGCGUAAAGGGCUCGUAGGCGGCCAACUAAGUCGGACGUGAAAUCCCCAGGCUCAACCUGGGAACUGCGUCUGAUACUGGAUGGCUUGAAUCCGGGAGAGGGAUGCAGAAUUCCAGGUGUAGCGGUGAAAUGCGUAGAUAUUGGGAAGAACAUCAGUGGCGAAGGCGGCCUGCUGGGCUGUUGCUGACGCUGAGGCGCGACAGCGUGGGGAGCAAACAGG